GACGAACGCUGGCGGCGUGCUUAACACAUGCAAGUCGAACGGCAAGGCCCUGCUUUUGUUGCGUGCUCGAGCGGCGAACGGGUGAGUAACACGUGAGUAACCUGCCCAUGACUUUGGGAUAACUUCAGGAAACUGGGGCUAAUACCGGCUCGGAGCUCCUGCUGCAUGGUGGGGGUUGGAAAGUUACGGCGGUGGGGGAUGGGUUGGCGGCUUAUCAGCUUGUUGGGGGGGUAGUGGCUUACCAAGGCGUUGACGGGUAGCCGGACUGAGAGGGUGACCGGGAACAGGGGGAGUGAGAUACGGGACGGAGUCGUACGGGAGGCAGCGGUGGGGAAGAUUGCACGAUGGGCGGAAGCCGGAUGCAGCAACGCGGCGUGCGGGAUGACGGCCUUCGGGUUGUAAACCGCUUUCGCCUGUGACGAAGCGUGAGUGACGGUAAUGGGUAAAGAAGCACCGGCUAACUACGUG
rnacentral:rRNA from 1 species